UGGAACUGAGACACGGUCCAGACUCCUACGGGAGGCAGCAGUAGGGAAUCUUCCGCAAUGGGCGAAAGCCUGACGGAGCAACGCCGCGUGAGUGAUGAAGGUCUUCGGAUCGUAAAACUCUGUUAUUAGGGAAGAACAUAUGUGUAAGUAACUGUGCACAUCUUGACGGUACCUAAUCAGAAAGCCACGGCUAACUACGUGCCAGCAGCCGCGGUAAUACGUAGGUGGCAAGCGUUAUCCGGAAUUAUUGGGCGUAAAGCGCGCGUAGGCGGUUUUUUAAGUCUGAUGUGAAAGCCCACGGCUCAACCGUGGAGGGUCAUUGGAAACUGGAAAACUUGAGUGCAGAAGAGGAAAGUGGAAUUCCAUGUGUAGCGGUGAAAUGCGCAGAGAUAUGGAGGAACACCAGUGGCGAAGGCGACUUUCUGGUCUGUAACUGACGCUGAUGUGCGAAAGCGUGGGGAUCAAACAGGAUUAGAUACCCUGGUAGUCCACGCCGUAAACGAUGAGUGCUAAGUGUUAGGGGGUUUCCGCC
rnacentral:rRNA from 1 species